rnacentral:rRNA from 1 species
CCCUAUAGUAGAGGAUAGCCCGGCGAAAGUCGGAUUAAUACUCUAUGUUUUCCGUUGCAGACAUCUAAGAUGGAACAAAGGCUUGCCGCUAUAGGAUGGGGAUGCGUCUGAUUAGGUAGUCGGCGGGGUAACGGCCCACCGAGCCAUCGAUCAGUAGGGGUUCUGAGAGGAAGGUCCCCCACAUUGGAACUGAGACACGGUCCAAACUCCUACGGGAGGCAGCAGUGAGGAAUUAUUGGUCAAGUGGGCGAGAGCCUGAACCAGCCAAGUAGCGUGCAGGACGACGGCCCUAGUGGGUUGUAAACUGUCUUUUAUGGCGGGGAAUAAAGUUCACUACGUGUAGUGUUUUGUAGGUACCGCAUGAAUAAGGACCGGCUAAUUCCGUGCCAGCAGCAGC